GGAGAAUGUAACUGUGAAACCAGAACCCGACGACGGUUACCGGAUCCAUGUAGGGACGCCGGAGGUGUAGAUGAUGAGAAGACAUGUACACCCGACGAAAGCGCCUGCGCUCACGUAAUGAUGUUUGCUGUAAUCGGUUCGGUUUUGGGAUUUCUUACGUUGCUUCUGAUCGUCGUUGGGGCUGUCUGCUGUAUUAGACACAAUCAGCCGCCCGCCCCUACAGUUAACAUCGAAAUGCCUUCCCGACAAAUAACCACUGCCAAUGAACUUUUUGGAAGUAUAAUUACACUGGAGACUUCCGGAGGAAUGAACGAGUUUCAAG